rnacentral:lncRNA from 1 species
GGAGGAAUGAAGCACAGAAAUGAAGUGUAUGAUCCAAGCAAGACAGAAAGCCAGCAGGGCAAACAUCGUGUACCUCUGGGUCCAUUAGUGUACAAGGAGUUCUUUUUACAAAGAGGAAAAGCAAUAUAAUAAAAGAAGUGAUAGAGGAUUGGAUUUUAUUGAAAACAUAUUGAGAGUGGUCCUGGGAUUGGAUGUCACAGGCAUGGUAGCUGUAGCUGGUGGAGAAAAAAAGCAGACAGUGCCUGCACCUGAGGGAGGGCUGGCAUCGAGGACCGAAUUGGAACGGUUGAUCUUGGCAAGGAGACAUCACUAUGAUUGGUAGCCCAUGGCCUGGACAAUUGCCUGCAGUAUCUUUGCAGCUUCCUGUGAGUCAGAGGACAGAGAGAAGGACAGAGGCAGACAAGGGUGACUGAAUCAGCACGCUGCCCUCUGCAGCUUUGGGAGUCAUGCCUGUGUGUACCCGAGCUCCGCCACCAACCAGCAUCCCUGUCUUUGGGCAAGUUAUUUAGACUUUGUGGGUCCUUGUUUCAUCAUCUGUAGGAAGCCAGGGGCAUCAGGGCUCGGGGCUUGAAGCAUCUAUUUGGCACAGUGGAAAUCUACAUGUUUCCUUCACUGGACUCUUUGGAAAUGAGUCUUAUUAUGCACCCCAGGCUCUCAAACUCUGGAUCCUCGUGCUGCAAACUCUCAAAUGAUGAGACUACAGGCAUUGGUGGUCUGUGCCACCGCACCAGACAAGAGCAGUUAAGAGUAUCAAUACAGUCUGCUUUUAAAACUGAGUAAACAAAACAGAACGGGGAGGGGAGAGGACCACCAACAGUAGCGUCAAGCGUGAGACUUCCUGGGAACAGCUGUGCCUCUUGGCUGACAGAUGAAUCCUUUGAUGUCUCUCAGAGCAGAGUAUUGCGACUGAGUCCUGCCCUCCCUGGGGCUUUUUCAUCAUCCCUAAAUUGGAAUCUGCUGCAGAAGCCCGUUAUCAGCAACCUGGAGCACACUUCCAGGAACAGCAGCUAAACACCCAAAUAAAUGCUUGACUCAGGAAUGUGAGCCACUGAGUCACAGCUCUUGACUUCAGGGUGACCUGGCUUUUGAGGUGCUGGCCCGAGUCAUACCACCUGACCCUACACCACUUGUGUUCUUGGCAACUGGCCAUUGUCUCUGUGAAGGCAAGGCUCCUUGUCACACAGAGGCUGCCUGGAGAAUUUCACAAUAUGCAGGGCUCAAUGGACGGCCCAAGGAGAUCUCGGAGUCAAAGAUGCCAGCAACGGUUGUCACUCGCUCCUUUGAAACAGUUUUUAAAAAGCGUUGUAAGCCUGGCUGAGAAAAGGCAGAGAGCCCUUCGUGAAUCAGUUUGGCAAGCCAACCCAGAUAGAAGAUAAAUGUGCUGCAAGCACAUUUAGCAGCAACAGGACAAAACCACAGGUAGUUGAUAGGCACAACAGAGGAGCUCUUCUGCUACUGAGACCUUCCUGGGGAAUACCUGCUCCCCAACUGACCUUUCCACAGCCCCUUGUCUGGGAUGAGAUAGGCAUGUUAUUGAAUCCUAAUGCUUUUCAAAGGCUGAUCUGGUUUUCAAGUGGGCUGGUGUCCACCUUCAUCUUUAUUGUGAUAUUUGACCCCAUUGGUCCUCUGGUCUUAUUUCUGGUACUGUGUUCUCUAGGGGUAAGGAAAGGAACUGCAGAUCCAAUGGCCCUUCAGAGACUUCUGUGAAAAAUGCACACGAUGUUCAGCUGUUCUGGUAAUGAAAUAGAUGCACAGAAAAACAACAGCGAUGUGUCUACACCAGCGUCUGUAGACACUGCUCAAGAGUAAAGCACUUGCUAUGCAGUCAUGAGACUCUGAGCUCAGAUCAUGUAAUAGCCUGGUGUGGUGGUCCCAUCCUAGUAACUUGAACCUAGACCCUUCCACCUUGAGAUCUGUCUUCCAGGUCUUCACCCCAGUCACUAAGCCUCAUAUAUAAGCUUUGUAAUGUUCAUAACGGGUAAGCUCUGAAAAAUGACCAUUGGACAGGUGGGGGUGGGGUGCAUGAGAAAACCAUCAAACAAAGUGUGUGAGACUCAGCCUUCCUGUUACAGCUACAGAAGAAAACAAAAUAUUACUUGCAGAGUAAAAAUCUAAUACUGCCUCAGGGUUUGGAAGGAGCCACAUGAAAACGGCGAUGGAGUCACAUCCUGGAGGCUGGACAGGCUCAUUUUUACUUUUGCAUCUAUAUUUUCUCUAUUCUCCAUUUGAUUAGAAAGUAUGUUGCUUUAAUAAAAAAAAAAAAAAAAAAAAAAAAACUUUUUAAUCAAAAGUU